UCCAGCCGUGAAGGCCAGAGGUGGCGGGCCCGUGGAAGCAAGGCCCAGCAGGGGGGAAAGAAAGUGGCACGGGGGAAGAAGUGGCAGGGGAGAGGUUCACACAAGUCUACCUACUGCUUCAUGAAGAAAAGUCAUCUCUGGUAUUUGAGAGUCAUUUAUCAUGCAAAAAUCAAAGCAGAUACCAAAUAAGAUGUUCUGAGUGCAAUCUCAGCUUCACCCAGACUCUUACAAGCUCUAUUGAAAUAAGUGCACAUUACAUACCAAACAUGGUUCGCAUAAUGCACCAUAUGAUUCAAGGUGAUGUGCAACGUAAGUUCCACAAGUUUUCAGCCCUGUAAAAACACUGGAAACCUCCAAGAGUUGUUGAUAUGACCCUUAAAAUACCACACCACAAUCAAGUUGGGAGCGUUUGUGAGAUCACUGCAUUGCUUUGACUCACUCUCUAUAGGUCAUUCUGUUUUGAUUCAAGUUGACUUUUCCACAAGUGAAGUCUCUGUCUAGAAUAUAAAUGGUACUCAGAAUAGGGCAGCAAACUUGAAAAUAAAGCUCGACAGAAUUUUGUUCCAAGCAAAUGUGCCUGGCUGGUACCACAGUCUAGGCUACCCAUGUAAUGGAUGGCUAUUAUUCUUACCUAUUACCAGCAAUCCUUACAGACAGACAGACACUUUACAUUGUCAUUUGUUUGUUUUUACCAAUGUUUGUACCAUGAACCAUGAACUCAUUUAUUUAUGGUCAACGAUCAAAUAAACACUACAGCAAAGCAAUACAGUACAAUACUGUAUCGAAUUAAUACUGAAAUCGAAUAAUAAUAAUACAAUAACAUAAGUAAAAAUUUAAAAACCA